rnacentral:lncRNA from 1 species
GUUCCUUAUUUUCCAUGAAGCACCUUGGUUUUUCCUGAAACCUCUUCUAGUUAGCCUUUGAUUUCUUCUGCUCAUUAGCUUUCUGAAUUUUCUUGCAACUAGAGCUAAUUCUUCAUCAUCAUCAUAGGAAAGCUCUUCCAACUCUUCUUCAAGGAUGUUAGCUUUAAGUGCAAUACUCUUUUUCUUUUCCUUUGCUUCCCUUCGGUCUUCUUCUUCUUCUUCUUCCUUAAGCUCCAGCUCAUGAGUAAGAAAAUAACCACAAAUCUCAUCGAUUGUGAUGAUGUUCAAAUCUUUAGCCUCUCUAAUGGCAGUCACUUUUGGUUUCCAAGAUUUUGGAAGGCUUCUAAGCAGUCU